ACAUGCCUACAACAUAGGAUUAAUUCACCAUAUCCCAUUAGAACUUUGUAGUUAAGCACGCUCAGGCUAGAGUAGUACUGGGAUGGGUGACCACCAGGGAAGUCCUAGUGUUUUACAUGCC
rnacentral:rRNA from 1 species